rnacentral:lncRNA from 1 species
CACAUGUCCCUUUGAACCACCUAAACCAAAGACAAAGCACAAGCUGGAUGUACUCUGUGGAAUAUUUUAAAGCCCUUCAAAAAUAUGAAAAGGAGAAGUUUGAAGAGAUGAUUCAACAAAUUAAAGAAACUGGUGCUAACCUAGCCAUUUGCCAGUGGGGCUUUGAUGAUAAAGCAAAUCAUUUACUUCUUCAGAAUAACCUGCCUGCAGUUCAUUGGAUAGGAGGACCUGA